rnacentral:rRNA from 1 species
CGAANACUACACUGUCUCCCCCCUAAAAUCAAUGAAACUAAUCUCCUCGUGAAGAAGCGAGGAUACAAAUAUAAGACGAGAAGACCCCAUGGAGCUUUAAACAAACCCCAACUGCUCCCUCCCUAAUCAUAGAAAUUGAGCAUUAAUGACGGGUAGUUUUCGGUUGGGGUGACCGCGGAGUAAAACAAAACCUCCACAAUGAAUGUAAUAAAAUACUAAUAAAAGAACCACAAUUCUAAUAAUCAAAAAAUUGACAUAUUUGACCCAAACACUUGAUCAAUGAACCAAGUUACCCUGGGGAUAACAGCGCAAUCCAUUUUAAGAGCCCCUAUCGACAAAUGGGUUUACGACCUCGAUGUUGGAUCAGGGUAUCCUAGUGGUGCAGCCGCUACUAACGGUUCGUUUGUUCAACGAUUAAAACCCUACGUGAUCUG